rnacentral:misc_RNA from 1 species
AUGUAACUGUAGAUUAUCUAGAGAGAUCAGAAGAACCAGGUUUACUUGUAACUGAUGAAGACGAGCAUGAAACGUUGCUUCUCCACCGCAUCAGUGCAGAGGAUAUCUACCGUAAGCAAGAAGAUACAAUUAUUUCUUGGAGGGAUCCGGAGUAUUCAACUGAACUGGCUCUUAGUUUUCAGGAGACCACUGGUUGCUCAUACAUAUGGGACAGCAUCUGUAGUGUGCAGAGAAACAUGCAAUUUAGUAGCCUUAAUUAUGAGACAUUUCAUAGUGCCAGCAGUGACUUGAGAGAACUGCCUCCAGUUGAGCUAUCUACGCUUCCCUUGAUAUUAAAGAUAGUUGUAGAGAGUGGUGUUGCUGAUCAGUUGCGUGUGACAGAACUAGUAUUGCAUGAUCAAAUUUUUUUCGGAAAGCUGAUGGAUUUAUUCAGAAUCUGUGAAGACCUGGAGAAUGUUGACAGUCUUCACAUUAUUUUCAAAAUAGUUAGAGGAAUUAUUUUUCUCAAUAGUUCCCAGAUCUUUGAAACAAUAUUUGGUGAUGAGUUGAUUAUGGAUAUUGUUGGAUGCCUUGAAUAUGACCCAGAGGCACCACAUAUCCAUCAUCGCGGUUUUCUGAAGGAGCACGUCGUAAAUAAGGAGGCUAUACCUAUCAAAGAUACGGUAGUCCUUUCAAAGAUACGUCAAACUUAUAGAGUUGGCUAUCUAAAGGAUGUCGUGUUGGCUCAAAUGUUGGAUGAGGCAACAAUAGCAAAUCUCAAUUCCAUAAUAAGUUCGAACAAUGCAAUGGUUGUAUCUCGCCUGAAAGAUGAUAAUGCCUUUAUUCAGGAAUUAUUUG